CACAAGGAAACACCUGUCCCUUGGGAAAAAGCGUCGAUCCCAAGAGCAUUCCCCAAUAAAACCUCCUACACACUAAUUUCCAUUUCAGAAUCUACUUCCCAGGGAAUCCAACCUGUGAUGCCCCUUGAGAAAAACUAUACCUGGAGGAUUAGAUUGUGUGUCCCCUGUGGCCAGCAGCCACAAGGAGGAAGGGUGGCAGAAACUAGCAUGCCCAGUUUGUCCUUUCCAAAUUUACUCCAAUGGUCAACUAAUAGUAUCUUUAAUAUAGAUCCUUUUCUGGUUCCUUUUUUGUUCAUUAAUUCUUGGAUGAGUUUCUGAGCAGUUUUUAGUAAGAAGUGUGUAGGAAGAGAGGCCAGGGGUUUUGUGUUAGGCUGAAAACAUCCUUCUAUGAGUCAUCAUUCUCAUUUUCAUCAGCUCCCUGGGCCUGCUUAUUUUCCUUUGAUGUUUACAAAGGGACAUGUGAUUACAUAAGGGAAGGGUAAAGGGUAUAAUAAACCAGGGUUGUAAGAGAAGGACCA
rnacentral:lncRNA from 1 species